GAUGAACGCUGGCGGCGUGCCUAAUACAUGCAAGUCUAGCGCACGGCCGUGCAGCUUGAUUUUCUGCUGUUAGCGGCGGUCGGGUGAGUGACACGUGGAUAACCUACCUAUAAGACUGGGAUACCUUCGGGAAACCGGAGCUAAUACCGGAUCAUAUUUUGUACCGCAUGGUUUAAAAGUGAGAGACGGUGUUGGUGACACUUAUAGAUGGUUCCCCUGUGGAUUAGGUAGUUGGUAAGGUAACGGCUUACCGAGGCAACGAUGCAUAGCCGACCUGGGGAGGUGAUCGGCCAGACCGGAGCGGGGAGACGGUCCCGAGGCGAACGAGAGGCAGCAGUUAGGCAUCUGCGGCGAUGGGGGAAAGCCUAUUGGAGCAAGGGCGCGUGAGUGAUGAAGGUAUUCGGAGCGUAAAACGCUGUUAUUAGGGAUGAACAGAUGUGUAAGUAACGAAGCACAACAUGACGGUACCUGAAGAGAAAGCCACGGCUAAAUACGUG
rnacentral:rRNA from 1 species